UAGGGCAAUCUUCGGCAAUGGGGGGAACCCUGACCGAGCAACGCCGCGUGAGUGAAGAAGGUUUUCGGAUCGUAAAGCUCUGUUGUUAAGGAAGAACGAGUGUGAGAAUGGAAAGUUCAUACUGUGACGGUACUUAACCAGAAGGGGACGGCUAACUACGUGCCAGCAGCCGCGGUAAUACGUAGGUCCCGAGCGUUGUCCGGAUUUAUUGGGCGUAAAGCGAGCGCAGGCGGUUAGAUAAGUCUGAAGUUAAAGGCAGUGGCUCAACCAUUGUAGGCUUUGGAAACUGUUUAACUUGAGUGCAGAAGGGGAGAGUGGAAUUCCAUGUGUAGCGGUGAAAUGCGUAGAUAUAUGGAGGAACACCGGUGGCGAAAGCGGCUCUCUGGUCUGUAACUGACGCUGAGGCUCGAAAGCGUGGGGAGCGAACAGGAUUAGAUACCCUGGUAGUCCACGCCGUAAACGAUGAGUGCUAGGUGUUAGGUCCUUUCCGGGACUUAGUGCCGCAGCUAACGCAUUAAGCACUCCGCCUGGGGAGUACGACCGCAAGGUUG
rnacentral:rRNA from 1 species